ACAAUGCGCAGGCAAUCCACAGCAGCUGCCCCUGCAAAUGUCAGCGCCAGCCCAGUCAAAAGAGCUUGAAACCUACCAAGCCGGAGGACUGUGCUGUGCCUCUCUCGCCCACAUUUUCCCCAAGCACUCUCAGGAACCUGGCAACAGAUGGAUAUCUGAGAGCCAGCGAACUUUCUUUACCUCCUAGUAUCAUUUCAUGAAAAUUAGUAGCACCUGCACAAUGGGGCCUUGGAGACAGGAAUAAAAGGAAAAAUCUGGAAUGGAAUCACAUGACGCAACAGGCUAUGAAGACUCCCUGCCCGGCUGCUAUAUGUCUGGUAAACAGAAUAAAUAGUACUUGAGCA
rnacentral:lncRNA from 1 species